rnacentral:tRNA from 1 species
AGUUUUAUAGUCAAAAUAUAUGUAUAUGAUAUUAAAUUGCAAAUUUAAAGUUGAUAUUUCUAAAGCUU